GGAGGCAGCAGUGGGGAAUAUUGCACAAUGGGCGCAAGCCUGAUGCAGCCAUGCCGCGUGUGUGAAGAAGGCCUUCGGGUUGUAAAGCACUUUCAGUCGUGAGGAAGGUGGUGUAGUUAAUAGCUGCAUUAUUUGACGUUAGCGACAGAAGAAGCACCGGCUAACUCCGUGCCAGCAGCCGCGGUAAUACGGAGGGUGCGAGCGUUAAUCGGAAUUACUGGGCGUAAAGCGCAUGCAGGUGGUUUGUUAAGUCAGAUGUGAAAGCCCGGGGCUCAACCUCGGAAUAGCAUUUGAAACUGGCAGACUAGAGUACUGUAGAGGGGGGUAGAAUUUCAGGUGUAGCGGUGAAAUGCGUAGAGAUCUGAAGGAAUACCGGUGGCGAAGGCGGCCCCCUGGACAGAUACUGACACUCAGAUGCGAAAGCGUGGGGAGCAAACAGGAUUAGAUACCCUGGUAGUCCACGCCGUAAACGAUGUCUACUUGGAGGUUGUGGCCUUGAGCCGUGGCUUUCGGAGCUAACGCGUUAAGUAGACCGCCUGGGGAGUACGGUCGCAAGAUUAAAACUCAAAUGAAUUGACGGGGGCCCGCACAAGCGGUGGAGCAUGUGGUUUAAUUCGAUGCAACGCGAAGAACCUUACCUACUCUUGACAUCCAGAGAACUUUCCAGAGAUGGAUUGGUGCCUUCGGGAACUCUGAGACAGGU
rnacentral:rRNA from 1 species